CACCCACGGAGGAAGACGUUUUCCGGUUUUUCACAGGGGUUCCAGUACCAGUAGCAAUCAGAUGAUGAGCUUUAGGCAGACUCAUGAGGAAAGUCAAGGCACAUUCAGAGGAGCAGCAUCUGCCCCUGUACAGAUGGCAUUUUUGUUCCUACACACUCUCCACUGGCCCAAAGGCAGUAUCUUUUCCCAAAAUGCCAGCCUUACAUAUAAAUCACUGGGGCUGCCAAAGGUCUUCAAGUUGCAUCACCUGUCUUCAUGUGUAUUUAAAACCUAGCCAGUUCGCACGAUUACCCAUUUUCUUCUGAAAGCGCCAUGGGCAUAGAGGAAGUGAAUCUACAAGAGGUCCUACCAGACUUGCCAAUGUGAUCAGCUGUGUUAGACCAAGGUCUUCAGACACCGGAAACAUCUGCCUCCCCUUAGGUGCUCUUUGAGGCUUCUCUAGGAGAUUCCAACAGCCAGCAUGCUUGGAAGAACAGGACGUUUCAAACUUGGUGGGGCAAUUAAUACAGGUUAAAUUUUUUAAAAGGAAUACAUAUAUAUCUAAACAUUAACAACCUAACCACUAUAUUAUUCCAUGAUUUCCAGUCAUCUCAAAGUAUGUUGCUGCUUCUUAGGGCUGAUUUAUAAGUGACAUGCAGGUAACUAUUGUAAAAUCAUGGUGCUUCCCUGUUUGACUAAAAUACAUUGAGAGGAUUUCUGAUGUUGCUUGUUUUUGCACAUUACAUCUUCCGGGCUACCACCCCCUAAGUCUUUGGUCCAUGGCAUGCUGUGAAAUUACUCAAAAGGUAGCAAAUUCUGGAGUUCUGAUUUCAUUCAAAUCGGAAGGAUGCGGUGAGGAAAUCACUCCUUAUAACACAUUUCAGGUCUAUUGAAUAAGCACGUUGAAGAAGUCCCGUUUCAUCUGAAAUGGGCUUUUCACGGCAACCUAAUUGCAGUGUCUGUGCAUCAGGAAGAAUGCAGCCUUCCUGGGAUGAUUUUAAAAAUUAUUUAAGUUUCCUAUUUCCACUUAAUAAUCUCUACAGAUUAGUGCAUUACACUUACCCCUUUAUGAUUUUUAAAUUUGUCUAAUUAUUGUUCUUGGUACCGCCAAGCAUGACGUUCUUAAAUGUGUUCAUUCCAAUCUAUGGGAAGGAUUGCUGAGCUAGGACAUCUGCAGGUAAGAAGAAACAUUGUAGGGCCAAUUUACUAAUAAAACCUGGCAUAAUGCUUGCUGCA
rnacentral:lncRNA from 1 species